AAAUUAGUGUUCUUCCCUCGAACUGACUUUGACACCCAACCGGCGCCUACACACAGUGAGUCUUGGUGGUGUCAAAAUGUCCUUCCCUUUCGGGAUCUCUCUUGUCUGUAAUUAUUACCUGUAGAAGCUUUCCUGAGUCUUAAGGCUAGAUUGGGGUGUUGGCUUACGUAGAACAAUCAAAUGAUCCCACCUCCGUUUCCAGUACUGGCAACAUUCCGUGGGAAGUCAGACUGGGUAACAUGGAAUUACUUUAACUGGGGAAAAACUGAAGCUGGAGCGGAGGACUUUUAAAGAGAUACCUCGGCCUAAGGAAAUGAAGCCACUCAGAAGAAGAAAACUGCUUUGAGAAGUCUUCUGGAGCAUGCGCAGGGCUAAGAGGGUACGGGACUGUCGGGAGACAGACGAAGGAAAACCUGACUCCAGUAUGAUUUACCUAAUUAGGGGCAUCACUGAUGUUCACCAGUGGGAGACUGCACUCUCUUCGUUGGGACUACUGUUGAAUUGGUAUUAAAAGUUCUAACCAUAAUCAUA